CACACCCUUUCCAUAAUAUGACUAAGGACAUUAAAAAAUUCAUAGGAGACAUUUCAUGCACACUUUAAUAUGGUCUGAAAGUUCUUGUUUUGUUUGAACUCAUCUACAAUAGUUAUUUUGAUGCCCUUUUCUUUCUAAGUAAGAUUAAGAUAUUGGUCAUUAUGUUGCCUUUGAAAAUGGCUUUGUCAUCAAAACCGGCUGACAGAUAUCUUGAAAUACAGUGCUACAAAUAGCCCACCUGCUUUAAAUUCCUGUGUUGAACUUCUAGGAUGGUGGUUUUAAGGAAGUUUCCUCCAUGCUGACUGGCUCUCGGAGUCCUGAAAAGUGCUAUGUGGGCUUCUGAGAGGUGGAGGAGCUUCAACAGUCUUACACCGCUGUGAAUCCUGUGAACUACAAUAAUGACUGGUCCAACAAUGAACACCCAUGGGUGUGUGUGCUUGUGUCAUGAAUGUAUGGUGACCACCAAGUGCUUUCUGAAUGGAUUUAAGGUCUUGCUCCAUGACAGGAAAAGAUAUGGGGUAGAGAAAAUCUGAAGAACAAUCUGAUUGGGGAGCUAACUCUGCUAGCAAUGGCAGAACCCUCUACUAUUAUUCUGCUAAGAAACAUUGUAUCAAAAUACCCUCUAAAUUUGUAUCUCUACCCACAGAAUUUGUAUCUCUCUACACACAGGUUAGUGCAGCUCCCAGACUUCAUCCGGAAAGUUUCUUUGUGCAGUGGGCAGCAGUUAAGACAGAAACUCACAGCUGGUCAAAGUAUAGAGGUUAAAAUGCAAGAGUACUCAACCACAAAUGAGGCACGCAUAUCAGUGCCCAAGCCCUACCACGGCACAAGGACUGUCUGGAACAAGGACUGUCUUGGAAGAAGGGUAGAAGCAUUGCAAGAGUCAGAGGUCAGAGAGAACCAGAACCAAACAGUGUCUUCUGGUUAUGACCACACUUGUGAAUUAGAAGUAGCUCUGGUUACCUGUAUGAGAUCAAGACAGUCAACAUUCUAGUCUGAAGGUGGCAGAGGCUCAUAAGUCUUCCCUGCUGACUGAGGAGACAUGGAUAGUUGAUGGCUUUGAAGAGAAGUGGAAUCUGUUUUCUUCAAGGGUGUGGUCUCUGGUAUAAAAAACAGGGAAUGAAUAAAGGUCAGCCAGCUCAUCUCAGAAGGACGCAGGACACCACAAAUGCACCCCGAAUCCCCGACAAUGCCUGAGUAAGUCUGUGGAGACUCACUCUUACCUGAAAACUCCUAUCACCACAUCUAAGCCUGUCCUGAGUACUUCUCACUGAACAACGGUCUCCUGGUCGCUGAUGCAGCAUGAUCGGCCGGCUUCACUCUUGUCUCCAUGCCUUCCCCACCGUGAUGGAUCAGAGUCCCUCAAACGGGCUCCGAUUUACCAUUCUGCAGAGAGAGCAACCACCUCCAGCCCAAUCUCAAAAUCAAGUCCAAACGCUGUCCAAAGUCCGUGAAGUCUUAGUCCAAUGCCUUGUUUGGUUUCAGUCAUCCUUUUUCGCUGAGUUUGCAGUCCAACUCCUUCUCUCGCAGCUCUGCUAAUAUUGUCCCUUAAUUCUGCUUUGUAAUAAAUACCAUCGGCUUUAAUGUGUCUUGAAGGACUGCGCCAAGGGCUCCUGGGAUCCCUAUGAUCCCUAUGAUUCCUCAUCAACUUGACACACUUUGAAUCACCUAGGAAGACAGUCUCGGGAAGGGACUAUCUAGAUUAGGCUGGUCUAUGGGCAUGGCUGUGAUGGAUGUCUUGAUUCCAUUAACUGAUAUGGGAAACUUCAGCCUAAAUGUGGAUGGUGCUGGUCCCUGGGUUUGGGUCCUAGGUUAUGAAGGGAAAAGAGAGCUGAUCUGGCAGGAAUGUAUGCAAAGCUCUUGACUGUGGGCGUGACUUUCUGCAUCAAGUUCCCGACGCCUUGACCUCUGUGCAAUGGUGGACUUGAACCUGGAUUUGUAGAAUAAGUUACAUUUUGCUUUUGUCACAGCAACAGGGAAUAAAACUAAG
rnacentral:sRNA from 1 species